rnacentral:rRNA from 1 species
AUUGAACGCUGGCGGAAUGCUUUACACAUGCAAGUCGAACGGCAGCACGGACUUCGGUCUGGUGGCGUGUGGCGAACGGGUGAGUAAUACAUCGGAACGUGCCCAGUCGUGGGGGAUAACGUAGCGAAAGCUACGCUAAUACCGCAUACGAUCUAAGGAUGAAAGCGGGGGAUCGCAAGACCUCGCGCGAUUGGAGCGGCCGAUGGCAGAUUAGGUAGUUGGUAGGGUAAAGGCCUACCAAGCCGACGUUCUGUAGCUGGGCUGAGAGGAUGAUCCGCCACACUGGGAAUGAGACACGGGCCAGACUCCUACGGGAGGCAGCAGUGGGGAAUUUUGGACAAUGGGCGCAAGCCUGAUCCAGCCAUUCCGCGUGCAGGAUGAAGGCCUUCGGGUUGUAAACUGCUUUUGUACAGAACGAAAAGGCUCUGGUUAAUACCCGGGGCUCAUGACGGUACUGUAAGAACAAGCACCGGCUAACUACGUGCCAGCCGCCGCCGUAA